UACGAAGGGGGCUAGCGUUGCUCGGAAUCAUUGGGCGUAAAGCGCGUGUAGGCGGCCCGGUAAGUCCGCUGUGAAAGUCAAAGGCUCAACCUUUGAAAGCCGGUGGAUACUGUGAGGCUAGAGUACGGAAGAGGCGAGUGGAAUUCCUGGUGUAGCGGUGGAAUGCGCAGAUAUCAGGAGGAACACCAAUAGCGAAGGCAGCUCGCUGGGACGUUACUGACACUGAGGCGCGAAAGCGUGGGGAGCGAACAGG
rnacentral:rRNA from 1 species